AGUGAACGCUGGCGGCGUGCCUAACACAUGCAAGUCGAACGGAUCUUAAGAGCUUGCUCUCAAGGUUAGUGGCGCACGGGUGAGUAACACGUAGCUAACCUGCCCCAUAGUAAGGGACAACAGUUGGAAACGACUGCUAAUACCUUAUACUCCUUCCCUACCUAAGUAGAGUCGGGAAAGUUUUUUCGCUAUGGGAUGGGGCUGCGGCCUAUCAGCUUGUUGGGGAGGUAAUGGCUCACCAAGGCUAUGACGGGUAGCUGGUCUGAGAGGAUGAUCAGCCACAUUGGAACUGAGACACGGUCCAAACUCCUACGGGAGGCAGCAGUGGGAAUUUUACACAAUGGGCGAAAGCCUGAUGUAGCAACGCCGCGUGGAGGAUGACGGAUUUAGGUCUGUAAACUCCUUUUAUAAGGGAAGAAAUUUGACGGUACCUUAUGAAUAAGCACCGGCUAACUCCGUGCCAGCAGCCGCCGUAA
rnacentral:rRNA from 1 species